ACUCUACUUUGCAGUUUUUACCAUCGUUUAACUCUGCGUUCCUAACAGGCCCGUAACCUAGAAAUAAAGCUUCUCAUAUUUCCAGUGAUAAAAUCGUGGUUGUGUUCAAAGCAACUGUAAAUCAAUGGCGACAUCCCUGAGCACACCAAAGCUCAGCACGACUCUGUCUUCUUCAACCCUUCAAACCCUCCUAUAUAGACACAAGUUCUCAACCCUGAAUCGUUCUCCUUUCAUUAUUUGUCCGCAAUCAUCAUCAUCUUCCUGCUAUUCAUCUAGUUUCAAUCUCUCGAAAAAGGCCCUAAGUUUUCUCUCUGACCAUCGGGGGAAUGCCAUACUCAAGUCUCGUCGAUUCGCCACCAGAGCGGAAUCGACUAACGGCGCCGAGCCACGUCACUAUGACUUCGACUUGUUUACUAUAGGUGCCGGGAGUGGUGGCGUUAGGGCUUCUCGUUUUGCUGCGAAUUUUGGUGCUUCAGUUGCUGUUUGCGAGCUUCCGUUUGCUACCAUAUCUUCCGAUACCACUGGAGGGGUAGGCGGAACGUGUGUGCUUCGUGGAUGUGUACCAAAGAAAUUGCUUGUGUAUGCAUCUAAAUAUUCACAUGAAUUUGAGGAGAGCCUUGGUUUUGGAUGGUCAUAUGGCUCUGAACCUACACAUGAUUGGAGCACCUUAAUGGCUAAUAAGAAUGCUGAAUUGCAGCGUCUUACUGGUAUCUACAAGAACAUUCUAAACAACGCGGGUGUCAAACUGAUUGAAGGACGAGGAAAGAUUGUGGACCCACACACGGUGGAUGUUGAUGGGAAACUUUACACUGCAAGAAACAUUUUAGUUUCAGUUGGAGGUCGCCCAUUCAUUCCAGAUAUUCCUGGAAGAGAGUAUGUGAUAGAUUCAGAUGCUGCUCUUGAUUUGCCUUCAAAGCCUACAAAAAUUGCAAUUGUUGGUGGUGGUUACAUUGCCCUUGAGUUUGCUGGCAUCUUCAAUGGAUUGCAAAGUGAGGUGCAUGUGUUUAUUCGUCAAAAGCAGGUUUUACGUGGGUUUGAUGAGGAGAUCAGAGACUUUCUUGCAGAGCAGAUGUCAUUAAAGGGAAUUGAGUUCCAUACAGAGGAGUCGCCACAGGCUGUGAUGAAAGCUGCAGAUGGAACAUUUUCUUUGAAGACAAAUAAAGGAACAACUGAGGGCUUCUCACAUGUUAUGUUUGCCACAGGGCGCAAGCCCAACACAAGGAAUUUGGGAUUGGAGUCGGUGGGUGUGAAACUGGACAAGAAUGGAGCAAUAGAGUGGAGUCAGGUGGAUGAAUACUCUCGCACAUCAGUUCCAUCGAUUUGGGCAGUUGGAGACGUUACGGAUAGAAUGAAUCUGACUCCGGUUGCUUUAAUGGAAGGAGGGGCGUUAGCCAAAACCCUUUUUGCAGAUGAGCCUACAAAACCAGAUUUUAGGGCUGUUCCUUCUGCAGUCUUCUCCCAGCCACCAAUCGGCCAAGUUGGUCUUAGUGAGCAACAGGCAAUAGAAGCAUAUGGUGAUAUCGAUGUGUAUACAGCAAAUUUCAGGCCCUUAAAAGCUACUCUAUCCGGCCUCCCCGAUAGAGUCUUUAUGAAACUUAUAGUCUCUGCCAACACCGACCAAGUCAUCGGCUUACACAUGUGCGGUGAAGAUUCAGCAGAAGUUGUUCAGGGAUUUGCUGUUGCUAUCAAAGCUGGGUUGACCAAGGCGCAGUUUGAUGCGACAGUGGGUGUUCACCCCACAUCCGCAGAAGAAUUCGUCACCAUGAGGACACCUACUAGGAAAAUUCGCACCCCUCCACCUGCAGGUAAGACGGAUUCCGAGUCUAAAGCUGCAGCAGGAGUUUAGUCAACUCAAUGCAUCAUCAACUUCUAUCCUACAAGCAAGCGAGAGCCUACUUAUAAGAGAGAGCUAAGAUGAUUUUGUUGGUGACAUGAAAGAAUUCAUCACGAACAGAUACUCCCACUCCUCUACUCCCAGAUAUGUUGAAGCGGUCAUCAUUCCCAAUGCUUUUACUACUGUUAGCAUCUCCAUGUUUGACUCAAAUGGUACAUAUAUCCAUGUUUGUAUGUAUUUAUCACAAUUCUUGCUUCACUUGUCUUCUUUGAAUCUGAUUGCUGCUUUCUUCACCAAACAAAGUUUAUAACUUUUGCUGGGGAACCCAUUUUUGUUCA